rnacentral:rRNA from 1 species
AUGAACGCUGGCGGCGUGCCUAAUACAUGCCAGUCGAGCGAACGGACGAGAAGCUUGCUUUUCUGAUGUUAGCGGCGGACGGGUGGGUAACACGUGGAUAACCUACCUAUAAGACUGGGAUAACUUCGGGAAACCGGAGCUAAUACCGGAUAAUAUUUUGAACCGCAUGGUUCAAAAGUGAAAGACGGUCUUGCUGUCACUUAUAGAUGGAUCCGCGCUGCAUUAGCUAGUUGGUAAGGUAACGGCUUACCAAGGCAACGAUGCAUAGCCGACCUGAGAGGGUGAUCGGCCACACUGGAACUGAGACACGGUCCAGACUCCUACGGGAGGCAGCAGUAGGGAAUCUUCCGCAAUGGGCGAAAGCCUGACGGAGCAACGCCGCGUGAGUGAUGAAGGUCUUCGGAUCGUAAAACUCUGUUAUUAGGGAAGAACAUAUGUGUAAGUAACUGUGCACAUCUUGACGGUACCUAAUCAGAAAGCCACGGCUAACUACGUG